UCAGUGGGGAUCCUCUUCUCCCUUUCAGAUUCCCCUGGUGCCACAUCAACAGAUUACACCACGGGUAACCUCAUCCGACUGGGACUGUCUGCCCUAAUUACGGUUCUUAUGGUGGCUUUCCUGGUGGAAGCCUGGUGGAGCCAGAGGAGGUCUCCAAGUGGGUCCAGCAAUUAAAGUGCCAAUCAUUGUGGAAGAAGCAGAGGAGCAGCCAGCCCAGGACAAGACGCUGACUUCCUUCUUCCUGUGCGCUUCACCUGGGCCCGAUGGCAGGACUGAGUGGACUCACCUAACACAUUUUGGAUGACUUGACAAAUACUUAAAACUUCAGCAUCUGACCGGGUAGCAAGUAGUUUCAUGUGUGGGAACUGUUCUUCCUUGAAAACUGGGGAAAGAUGGGUUCCUAUAGUAUUUAUUAGUGUUUCCCUUCCACUCUAUCUUCUGCUCUUUUCAGCAGUUGGUCAAAUGUUGAAACUACUGUAUUUAUCAUGUCUUUUAAAUUUUAUUUCAUAUAUUCUCAUCAUUUUACCUAAUUUGGGAGAAUUCCAGUCUAUAUUAUAGAAUCAAUUUGCUCUUGAGUUGUCCCCAGUAUUCCCGGUGCUGGUGUAAAAAGUCAUUGAGUAUAUUUUCAUUUUCAAGAUCUGUUGUUUCUUGUUUGAUAUCUUGUUCUUUUUCAUAAAUGCUCAUUUUUAUUUUAGAACUAUUAUCUCCUCUCUCAUAACUCUGGAGAUAGGCUAUGAAAAUCACAUUCUGAUGAUAAUAAAAGUGAUUCUCUGAGACAGAAGUUAUUUGCUUCCCCUGCUCCCUUCACUGUGUUGGGCCCAUCAGAUCAUGGAGGAGUCAGCUCCUCUCUCACCCUCAUUACAGCUGAGUCCCUCUUCUCCUGGCUGCUGCACUG